AUUUUGUCAUUUUAUAAACCGGUAUAGCCACGACAGAGCUUCUUGACUUAUAAAUGCAUUUGAAUAUAGUUUUGGGGAAUAAAACAAACUGUCAAUAUUUUGCAAUAUUUUUUGUAAGUCGAAACAAAACAAAAGUAUGUUUGUUUUGAAAAUACAUUCUAAGUUGUGCUUACUGUACAACAGCACAACUUCUUUUUAAAGCUGAUUAUUUAUGCACCAAAAUCACUCACCAGUUUAUCCAUCAUUACAUGUAAAAGACAAAAAAAGUUAAAUAUAAAAAAGAAGAUGUGGUAUGAUUGCCAAUAAGACAACUGUCCACAAGAGACCAAAAUGACACAGAAUUAUUAACAACUAUAUGUCACCGUACGGCCUUCAACAAUGAGCAAAGCCCAUACAGCAUAGUCAGCUAUAAAAGGACCCGAUAAGACAAUGUAAAACAAUUCAAACGAGAAAACUAACGGCCUUAUUUAUGUACAAAAAAUGAACGAAAAACAAAUAUGUAACACAUAAACAAACGACAACCACUGAAUUACAGGCUCCCGACUUGGGACAGGCACAUACAUAAAUAAUGUGGCGGGGUUAACAUGUUAGCGGGAUCUCAACCCUCCCCUAACCUGGGACAGCGGUAUAACAGUACAACAUAAGAACGAACAAUAAAAAUCAGUUGAAAAAGGCUUAACUCAUCAGAUGGACAAAAAUACAAGUGGACCUGGCCGGGUACGUAUACAUCCCGACACAAAAAGACACAAUGAACAGAUAUGAGAAUACUCGCAGUUGUCUGACAGUUCUUCUUGGUCCAACAAGUAUCAUAGAAAAACAUAAAACUUUAGGCUGAUAUGAUGUUCGAAUGGGGUGCUGUCUUUCGUGUUAAUGACAGGAAAUGAUACAUGUACUAUGCUUUUUAAAGUCUUAUACCUUGUGAACGUAUUUUAACACUCGAUUCCUCUUUUUUGCUGCUUGUUUACCGUCCUCUAGAUUCAAAACAACGCCACACCCAUUACCAUGGAUACAAAUAUUUCCUGCAUAAAAAACGGCAAAUAUGAAUUAUGAAAACCACAUUAAUUUCUUCAUUGUUGUUUUUUUUAUGAAAGUGUUUUCCGAAAUUUUUUUAAAAUUUAAACUUAAAAUUUUUCGAAAAAGUAAGGACUUUCUUAUCCCAG
rnacentral:lncRNA from 1 species